UUGUGGAGGGGCAGGAAAUUUCACCCCGGCUGGAAAUAUGUAAAUAUUGGCGAUUAAAAAAAAAAUCCAAGAGGCGUCAGCGACCUGCUGUCUGAGCAUAGUUCCUUAUCCGGGAAUCGCUAGCCUCCCCGCCAUUGGCCGCCGCUGUCACAUGGACUCCUAACUUUGUUCACUUGACAGUAUGUAGGAGGGUUUAGGGAACAGGAAAACGAGGAGGGGGGGAGAGGAAUAAAUUUUAGUAUUUUUGGGGGUGUGUGCGCGUGCAAUUCAAAGAAAUUAAUGGCCAUGAGCUCGUUUUUGAUCAACUCCAACUAUGUGGAUCCCAAAUUCCCACCCUGCGAAGAGUAUUCUCAGAACGAUUACCUUCCCAAUCCCUCUCCGGAAUAUUACCGCAGCCAGAGGCGAGAAAGCACUUUCCAACAUGAGGCGAUGUACCAGCCGCGGUCAGCUUGCAACGAGCAGCCCUACCCGGUGUGUCGGAGCUCCGGCCAACAGCCAGCGGUGCUGUCCCCCCGGGGUCACGUCCAUCCUUCGGCCGGACUUCAGAGCCACCUCUCAGAACCAGAUCUCUGUGAGUCGGUCACCCCCAGCCCUCCACCCUCGUGUAGCCAAAACUCUCUGAACCAAAGCCCAUCUCAUUCUUGCAAAGAGCCAGUAGUUUAUCCCUGGAUGAAAAAAGUCCAUGUAAGCACGGUAAACUCCAGUUGCGCAGGUGGGGAACCGAAACGCUCCCGGACAGCUUAUACCAGGCAGCAAGUCCUGGAACUGGAGAAAGAAUUUCACUACAAUCGCUACCUCACGCGGAGGCGCCGCGUGGAGAUCGCCCACGCUCUAUGCCUGUCCGAGCGCCAGAUCAAAAUCUGGUUCCAGAACAGGAGGAUGAAAUGGAAAAAAGACCAUAAAUUACCAAAUACCAAGAUCAGGUCUAAUGCAGCCAACUCUGCUGGAAGUCUGCAGAUACCAGGGGGCUCUCAGAACCGAGCCCAUGUACCAACUACCGGCCUAUAACUGUGGUGUGUGUGUGUGUGUGUGUCUGUGCGUUUGUGUGUAUGUGUGUAGGAGACACAAGCUACUUUUUAUAUGGUGCAAAAGGGGGCAUCCUUUUUAUUUAUAGAACAGGAGGGGGGACUCAGCUGCAAAACAAACGGAAGCCAGAGACAUGCGGUGGAAAUAGCCGUGUUCAAAUUUGGCUAAAAUCCUUGUUUCAUCUUGAAUCACGCCAAAACGCUGCCCCAAUGUGUCAUGUUUACUACCCCGUACAAAGGAUGGCCCUUAUGCUGGCGAUUACCUCGACAACCUGUGCUCGCUUUAAUAAAUGAGGCGCAGUGUCUUCAAGACGAACUGAUUUUUUUUUUUUUUUUUGCUGCCUCCCAGCCACAAAGCGAAAGUUUCUAUUCAGCUCUCCAAGGGCACAGCAGCUCUGGCGCUGCAGGGCAGCCCUACAGACCAAAAACAAACAAACAAGCCGGCGUCCACCGCUGCUCUAGCGUGAGGACCGAGGAGAAGGAAAAGGUGUUGCACAUGGUCCUGAGCAGGAGAGAGAAGGGACUGGCACAAUUUUAAACCAACCGAGUGACAUUUGGGAGGUGGGAGUGGGGAAGGGGACCAACAUCAGGGAGGCUGAUGUAAGAAACCCCCUGCCAUUUUUUAGUCCAGCGGGUUAAUUACCUCACUUGUAAAUGUGGGGCGAGAGAGGGGGACGUAUUUAGUUUAGAAACUUGAUGAUCAAAUAAUGCUACCUGAAUGUAAAUGUUCAUCAAAGGGAGUGGGUGAAAGAGAGGGCUCUUUGUUAAAAAAAAAUGCUUCUCCAAUAAGACUCAAUCCAUUUUUGUCCUCAGACUGUGAAUCAAAAAGGCAAGGUAGGAAUCUCCUUCUCUCUUAGAUGCAAAAGGGCAUAUGAAAUUCGUACAAAUUUAUAUAUAUCUAUAUAUUUUCUUUUCGUGUUCUAUAGUACUUGACAUUCCGAGCUGAUGUGAUUUCAAAGAACUUUUGGAAUCUUCGUCCCCCCCCCCUUCGUCCAGUGGAAUUACCUCCCAUUGUUCUUUGUGCUAUUCAUGCUCACUUUGUACAUAGCAGAACAAAAGCAAAUGGAAAUAAAAUGUUCGUGGCGACUAUAAACGGUGUGUGUUCAAAAUAGAUUUUUUUUUGUAAACAACAACAACAAAAAAGCACGUGUGUUAUUUGAUGGUGAUUUCUGUCAGUGACCCCCUCGCUCAUGAAAACAGAACAUGUUUGACUCUAGGAUAGCUCAGCCUUAAGUACAGCGAAGCCUUACAUAUUAUGAUUUAUUUAUUCUAAGCACAUAUGAAAAUGUCUGGUGUGUGGUGUGUUCACAAACUGGUUUUAACUGUGUGGGUCAUUAAAGCUCCACUGUGUAUUAAAGAACGAAAGCAGCAAUGUAUUUCUCAGGAACUGCUUCCUCCUUUUUAAAAAUCUCCUUCUGCAAGGUACUUAAUACAGUAAUGAGUGUAAUUUUUGCACAGAUGUUUCUCGGUGUUCGCAGGUUUUCUGUGUAUUUUUAUAUUACAAAGGAGCUGGCUCUGCAAUAGCUCAAACUCUGACAAGCAAAUAGAUAAUCAAGAAGACAAAUGGCUUCUUUUGUGAGUCACAGCUCUUGUAUUAAUUUUCAUUUUCUUGCUCAUAGAAAGUAUCGAAAAUACUUUUCGGGGCGAAAUAACAUUCCAGUUCUAAGUUACCAUUAAAAAGGGGGGGGGGGGGACGGACAGGAGGCCUCUAGAUCAUAGAAAGAAAAUCAUAGUUUUUAGAUGCAUUCCCUAUGAGAAAAUGGGUUUUGUAUAUUUGUGAGAAUUUAUGAAUUUCUCUUAGGCUCUCAGUAAUGAUUAAAACACCCCACAAAGAACAAAAUAGAACAAAGACCUGGCUUAGAAUAUUUAAAGUGGCCAUUUCGGUGCUGAAGGUCCUAAGCAUUUUAACUCCGACCCCACGCUUCAACUGUGUUCAAAAGUUGUUCCUGUCUCCAUAAAUCGUCCGUAAUGUCUUUUAUCCUAUUGACUUUUUAACAGUUUGUAAGAAAUAUUUAUAUGGUCAUGUGAUACCGAGCCGCUACACGUCUUGUCCUGGAAAAAUGGAGUUGUGUAUGUGUUUGAUUAACUUUUGCCCUUUUAAAGGCAAAAAGAGGAAACCUUCAGAGUUUUUAUUUCGAUGAGGGGUGGUGAGGACUGUAUUUAUUUUGAUGGCUGUUUCUCCCCCCCUUUGAUCUGCAUGCUAUGUAGAGGCGAUGUAAUUUUCAAAUGGAGGCUAUGCUUUUAAGGGUACCAAAACGGGUCUUAAAAAGCAUAUGUUGAUAGGAAUGCAACUUCUAUAGAACAAAUUCAAAGCUGGAAAGUAUGAAUAGAAUUGAAGGGGGGAGAAAAGAAGACUUCUAUAGGACCUAAAAGUUCACAGCCAUUAUAAGGAGACAGAAGCCAAGAAAAAUGCGAGAAUUAUACAGAAAAUCAUUAAUCACUUCUUUUCUUUAAAUACUUAUCCUUUGCCCAUUGUUAUUCAACAGCAAAUCUCCGCAGACCGUCUGUUGGGAAAAAAGUACCCGGAGUCCUACAAAAAUCUUCACGGGGAAUAAUAACAAUAAAAAAAUCUGGAUCAUAAAGUUGAAAACUUUUUUCUUUUUUUUGGAAAACAAAACGGAACAAACAACAACUCCCCCGCUUGGGAAGAAUCCACCCAAACCAUGAAUACCGUCUAUGGGGCGUUGAAGAAAGGAUGUGGGAAUGCACAAGUUCUCUUUCUUUCUCAAACUGCUGCGCUGCUUCAUUUGUGCUGGGCCAGACAACUGAGAAUUGGUGAGUGUUCUUAAACGUGAUGCCCCUGGUCAUAAUAAAAUAAAAUAAAAUAAAAUAAAACUCUUAGAACUGGAAACCAUUCAUUUUUUAAAUGAGAGACAAGUUGUUUGCCUUUCACCAGAUUUAUAAUGACGAUUUUGUGCCUUACCUUUUCUGUGAAGUAUUUUCGAUUUGCUACUGGCUUGUCUUUACAUUUGGUCAUUUCUGGUUAUAAUUUUGGGUGGACAUUGUAAAUGGAGAAUAUUUUCUGGUUUCCUUUUGAAGGGAAGUCUAAAAGGACCAGGACUGCAAAAUUCGGUGCUGAACUUGUGAAGUUUAACCCCCUUCCCCCAAACGGCAACAAAACGUAUAAGCAGAAAUGCAAGGCGAUAUUAAACCUAAUAUCUACUUACUAGACACUCAGUGUAUAGAAAUACAUCUUGGCAUGAUUUUUUUUAAAAAAAGUUCUCCAGUCAUUUAAAAAAGAACACAAAGUUGGUACUUCAGAAAAGUUCUUUGCAGAGCCCCGGGCAGACUCUGGUCUGAUAUUCUAGAUACUCGAUUAUUAAUCAUUGGAGAUCCCAUCUGCGAAAAUCUACCGAGUAUUUGUUUUUUCUAGGAGGGGUUUUUAAAAAGAAUAAUCCAUAAAUACUAUUGGUGACUUCUCCAUGCCGCGCUGCAAGGCGGGUGUUCCAAAAUAGGCUCUCUUCUCUGGCUGAAGACGUAUGUCCAAGUAGGUCUUAAAAAGUCAGAUAGAGAAGGGGGGAGGGGAAUCUCACAGUGAAAAAUGAGACGCUGAGGAUCCAGCUCACAACUCAGGUCUGAAAACUGCUGUUAGAACAAGAGGUGGGAACACUUUGCCCCUUAGCAGCCGGCACCUGGACCGUCCUUUCCACCAGACCCAUCCCGAAAGUAAGUUGUGGCGAACUCUGGAUUUGGCUCCCUUCGCCAUGGGCCCUUCUCCAAAGGUGCUGCCAGCAGCGCACACGGGUCCCCCCUUCCGAGCGGGGUGCAAGCAGCUUUCGUGGCCAGCUUGAAAUUCCCUAUUCAGCACUUCACCCAGAGGCGCCGGGGGCGCGAAUGAAAGGCGAGCACACCAGUGCAAACUGGAACAAAACCAGCGGAGGGGGGGAAAGUGCAGACAGCUACAUUUUUCCUCCCACCACCCCCUUUGCAAUCUUGCACCUUCGCCCGAAAGCAGCUGGGGAAAGUUCCGGCUUGGAGCGGCAAUUGUGCCUGCUCCAGGAAGCAUACCUAGUGAGAACAGCAGCGUCUGGGCGCAUCUUCCUAUUCACAACCCCCCUCCCCACCUUUAUUGUUCAACACCUACCCGACUUCGCCUCCCCCCUGCGAUUUUACUCCCUGCCCCUUUAGAAGUGCAGAUCCCACCCUCCUCUCCACUGCCCGGCUACAGGAGGUGCGGUGGGGGAGGAAAGGUAACCAUCGCUCACAGAACUUUUGACACGCAGACUUAAUAUUAAAGUCCCCCCCCCCCCAGCUGUAGGCUUUGGGUUGAAGCCACACCACGGACUCACUCCCCCCUCCCUUGCCCCCACCCGUCUCCUCUCUCUUAAAAAAACCAGUUUCCCAUCUAGCGGGUGAUACCCUCCUUGGCCCCACCCCUAAGAAGUGUAUUUCCUAAUUAUUCCAUUUUAGGGACUCUUCGGAGGUAGAGCCAGUGGCCGGGAGAGACAAGGAGAAUUCUCCCUGAGACGGGGUGUGGGGGGAAGGGAAGGGUAGGGCGACGUGGGAAGGGUUUAUUAGCAUAAAUUGACACCAAAUUGUUAAACACGUGAACCGAAGGGGAGCUUUGCUAUCUUUCCGUCUAGGCCUCGGUCCACCACGUCUGCAAUUAGCAUAAUUUUUCACUAGUGACGCUGUUUGGAAAGGCUGUUGGCUUUGCCCGGCGCUCCAAAGCAAAUCUUUUCCAUUUAUUUAUUUAUUUAUUUCUCU